AGGUAUUUCCUCUGCAAAUGUACGACCACUCCUAUACCAUCGUCGGGCGCUUAGGCUGUCAGUACGACGGUUUGCAGUCCUUCUGUUAGUAGCUGAUAGGUUACUCCGAGUGUCUACCAAAUUGCAACAAAUGAGGAAUUUAAGUGAAUCCAUCAUGUACAGGAGGUUGCAGUGAAAUGUGUCAGGUUUGGCAAACAAAGGAUAGGGAAGACCGCCACAUUUUUCUGCAAUAUACUGUACUUGCAAUCAGUUACUUUCAAGUCACAUUACUAUGCUGCUGCUCCUAAAUUUAGAUACAAAUUA